rnacentral:lncRNA from 1 species
UUACUGGCUUUUUCCAUUCCGGGCCGCUGCUAUUAAUACGACACCAAUUCUUCUCUCCUGCUAAAAAAUUUAUGGCUCCUUUAGGCUGAUUCUUUUUUUUUUGGGCUGAUCCUUUAGGCUGAUUCCACUUUUGUGAUUUUGAUUUUUUGAGUUACAUGCCCCAGCCCAACAACAUCUCCGGUAUUUCAAGUUUGAGUACUAUGAAUGCAAACGACUAAGCCCAUCAAGCCAUACUAAAUAUUAAUUUAUAUUCUAUAAUCAUAUCAAAGUUUUUCCUUACAAUGCCAAGGACUGAAUUGCUACGAGACUACAUACAACGCAAUAUGAUGUCUCACCCCCAAAAAAAAAUUUUCUUUGAACAUGAUGAGGGGGUAGGAGGAAGGGCCUAGUUGGGCCCCCAAAAGAUCAAAUGGAAGAGGCAUGCAGCCUUUUCUCCCUCCCUCUGCCUCUUUUCAUCAUGGGCCAAACCAGUCCUAAUAGUGUUCAAUUUCAUUUCGCCCGCGGCCGCAAUACUCCUCCCGGAGCUGCUUUUGCCAUCACCGGAGUACUCCAUCAGGAAAGCAUUCCUCUUCUGCUGCUCCAUGCUCUUGAAUGCUGCCUCAAGCUUGCAAACCCUUUUGUUACCACUCAUCUUUCUCAGCCUUUUCUUUCCCUUUUCCUUCGUUUUUUUCGUUUGGUCCACUAAAAAGUUGGAAAAAAAAAAAGGUAAUUGGAUCAGUGAUCGUGACUAUAUAUUAAGACUUGAGCUAAUUAGCUUCUGAUAGAGCAUUUCUGGCCAUGCCACAUGUAGGCAUAUUUAUAGAAGACUAGAAAGAGACACCAGAAAGAAAGACGCGUCUGGAAAGUUGGUGGGAGCAAGUUUUAGAAAAGAAAACAAGGGGUGAGAGAUCCUUGGUUUUCCUUCACUUUCAGCGGUUUUUACCAAAAUGUGGCAACCGGACCAUAGUUUGUUAGUAUAACUCUGCAUGUGCUUAAUUGUCUUUCCAUUAAAGUGAUUAUACCUUAGAACUUUACAACAUUGAAGUAGUAGACUAUUCUCCAGCAACGGCGGAUAGUUGCUGGUAACAAGGAAAGCCAACAGGGAUCGAUCAUUAGUUUAGUUACCCCACGAGUCUGACUUUAUCCAUGGAACAUGUACUAAUAACCUAAUAUUCUCAUUUGAUUUAAACACUUAAAUAUGAGAUCCAAAAUAUUUUUGUUUGGAUUAGCUGUUUUCUGGAGUGUUUUUGAAAUAUUUUAUUAUGGCAAUCUGUAUAAAUUUUUUUUAUUAUGGAUAUGUUUUGGUGAUGUUUUUUAAGGUAUUUUUGAAAUGUAUUUAAAAAUAUUUUUAAAGCUUAAAAAAUUAAAUCUACCACCCACCACCACCACCCCGUCUCUCCUUCCCCUACCUCUCCCCCUUCCUCCUCCCUUUCUUUCUUCUCUUCCUCCUUCAUUCUUCCCUUCCCAUUUCCUGUCACACCCCACCCUUCCCCUUCCCCUUCCCCUCCUUGAUGUGACGGGAAAUGGGAGAGAAAGGGAGGGGAGGAGGAAAGAGAAGGUGGAGAAAGAGGGAGAGAGAAUAGAGAGGGAAAGAAAAGGAGGAGAAGGAAGGAGAGGAUGGCGGUGGUGGUGGUGGUGGUGGGCGAUGGUGGUGAUAGAUGGAAGAAAAACAUAAUUUAGAUUUUAUUUUUUUUUUGUAUAUUUGAAAUUAUUUUUGAUAUAUUAUAUGGAUGUGAUAUUUUUGAAGGUGUUUUUAUUUAUAUAUUACUGUAGUAAUAUUGUAAAUGAAAAACUUGUUUUUCAAAAAAUGGAGAAUACAAACAAAGCCUAAUUAGUCGUUUUUAAGCUAGUUAUUUGAGUUUGAAAAUAUAUUUGAUAGGUAACCUCCGAAUUUUUGCUGAAAGUGGGAGGUGCCUUUGCAUGCUUGUUCCAAAAAAAAAUAAAAAAUACCUUCAACCAAAAAAUCCUCCUGCAUGCUCGUUUUUAUUACUACGUAGUAGGAAAGCGAAAUAAAGGAAAGAAAAAAUUAUUUUCCCAUGUAUGUUCGUUUUGAUAAGAAAAAAAAAAGAUAAUUAUUAUAAGUUAUAGAAAAUAUUGUGAAUGCUAAUAAUUUUCCUCCAAUAUACUGCAAAUUUUGUAAGACACAAAAUGCACGAAAAUGAAGAAAAUUUUGCUAAACUUUCUUACUAAUACUAUACAAACACCUGUAAAGGGCAAAAAUAACUAGUACUUCUCAAUUUUCAUACUUUAAGGACUCCUGAAAAUCGCUAUGGGCCCAAACCUGCAGGACUAGAGUCUCGCAGCCUGACUAUUUCUUUUAGAGGAAAGUCAUUAGAGAAUGGAGUUGUUGCCGUAAAACCAGAAUUAAGGUCAAUACACUUGCUUCGGUGGUUUCAUCCUCAAAGUCUCUUUCCUCCUCUUUCUUAUGAAGCGGUUUUGCCUUAAAUUCUCUCAAAAAAUUGAAAAUUUAAAAAGAACUUUUUUAGAUAGCACUGGUGUCUGUCUAAAAAAGUUCUGUUUUGUUUUUCGUUUAUACUUCACACCAUUUCAACCGUGCGAUCCUCUGAACUCACAGCCACAGGUUUCUAUUAUACAAGACUCACAACUCAACUACGGCUCUAAGAUAUUAUGAAAGGCUUCUUUCUUUCUUUUUUUUUUCAAUAAAUGUUUUGAACCUUUUCUUUUUCUUCUGGAGUUUGAUAUUUGAGCCUUCCACGAAUUGAAAAUUGAUUGCAUAUAAUGAUAACUCUCUUUCUUUAACUCUUUUUUCGAACCAUCUUCUACGUAAUUCUUUCUCCCAAUAGUAAAAAAAAAAAAAAAAAGGACACAAAUAAAAAUGAAACAAGAAGUAAAAGUUCAAAGAAGAGCAAAAUGGACCAAAGCCUGCAAAUGAUAUUCGUUGUCUUACAAUAAUAUAACAAAUUGUCAGGAUAUAUCAUAUGUUUUCUGAAAAAAAGAAAAAAAAAAGGAAGAAGAAGCUAAAAUCUAAUAGUACUAGGACCCCAACUACUCAAAUGCAUUACUUUCUUCACAGAGUUUUCUCUUCUUGGCGUCUUCUCUACUUCCCUAACCAAGAGAGAUGGCAAAACGGAGCGGGUAGUCAGGGCCUGAUGGUACCAAGAAGCAUGGCGUUGGAGCGGCAUCAAGGGGCGGCUACCUUGAUCUUUGAGAACCAUACCCACGGCUGCUCCUAUGCUCCCACCAACAACCAAGGCCUUUGCAUGCAGUUGCAUUCAUUCUUCCAAUAUUUGUUCUAGUAUAAUUAAUAUUGCAGAAUUAGUAUGAUUGAGAAGGUGGUAUUUCGUAUUGCUUGAGAAGAAAAUAGAUGGAUGAAAAGGUUUGUGAUUAAGGCUGAGAAAGGGACUAUGCGUAUAUAUAGGACAGGUGUAGAGAACAUGGCACGUGAGACAAAAGUUAGGCAUACU